CAGAACGAACGCUGGCGGCGCGUCUUAAACAUGCAAGUCGUACGGGAACCUCAGUGCUUGCAUUGAGGGGAGAGUGGCGAACGGGUGAGUAACACGUGGAUAAUCUGCCUUCAGGUUGGGGAUAACCCCCGGGAAACCGGAGCUAAUACCGAAUAAUAUGGUUUUUACACAGGUAAGAAUCAUUAAAGGUGGGGACCUUAGGGCCUACUGCCUGGAGAUGAGUCCGCGGCCCAUUAGCUUGUUGGUGGGGUAAUGGCCUACCAAGGCUACGAUGGGUAGCCGGCCUGAGAGGGUGGACGGCCACAUUGGGACUGAGAUACGGCCCAGACUCCUACGGGAGGCAGCAGUUAAGAAUCUUGCGCAAUGGGCGAAAGCCUGACGCAGCGACGCCGCGUGGACGAUGAAGGCCUUCGGGUUGUAAAGUCUGGUAAACAGGGAAGAAUAGGCAAAGGGUAAUAUUCUUUGUGAUGACGGUACCUGUCUAAAGCCCCGGCUAACUACGUGCCAGCAGCCGCGGUAAUACGUAUGGGGCAAGCGUUGUUCGGAAUUAUUGGGCGUAAAGGGCGUCUAGGCGGGGGAUUAAGUUGGAUGUGAAAGCCUUAGGCUCAACCUGAGAAUUGCAUCCAAAACUGGUUCUCUUGAGUUCGGGAGAGGAGAGCGGAAUUCCCGGUGUAGCGGUGAAAUGCGUAGAUAUCGGGAAGAACACCAGUGGCGAAGGCGGCUCUCUGGCCUAGGACUGACGCUGAAGCGCGAAAGCGUGGGGAGCGAACGGGAUUAGAUACCCCGGUAGUCCACGCCGUAAACGUUGUGUACUAGGUGUUAGUGGUUUAACCACUAGUGCCGACGCUAACGCAUUAAGUACACCGCCUGGGGAGUACGGCCGCAA
rnacentral:rRNA from 1 species